GGAGGUAGUGACAAUAAAUCACAAUGCGGAACUUUUGUUUUGCAAUUGGAUUGAGAAUAACGCACAACACUUAUCGAUAAACAAUUGGAGGGCAAGUCUGGUGCCAGCAGCCGCGGUAAUUCCAGCUCCAAUAGCGUAUAUUAACGUUGUUGCAGUUAAAAAGCUCGUAGUUGAAGUGAAGUAAUGAAGUUGUGAUUUGAAGUUUUCAUUUCGCUUCUUAAUUACUCUUUCCAAAUUGUUUGCAUGGGUAUUCAUUUAUCUGUGUAUUGCAUUUGGUCGUUUACUGUGAGAAAAUUAGAGUGUUCAAAGCAUACGUUUGUUUGAAUACAUUAGCAUGGAAUAAUUCGAAAAGGCUUUCAUGUUCGAUUUGAUUGGUUUGUUCGUGAGAGCAAGAUUAAAAGGGACAGUUGGGGGUAUUCAUAUUCAAUAGUCAGAGGUGAAAUUCUCGGAUUUAUGGAAGAUGAACAAGUGCGAAAGCA
rnacentral:rRNA from 1 species